rnacentral:rRNA from 1 species
GAUGAACGCUGGCGGCGUGCCUAAUACAUGCAAGUCGAGCGAACAGACGAGGAGCUUGCUCCUCUGACGUUAGCGGCGGACGGGUGAGUAACACGUGGAUAACCUACCUAUAAGACUGGGAUAACUUCGGGAAACCGGAGCUAAUACCGGAUAAUAUAUUGAACCGCAUGGUUCAAUAGUGAAAGACGGUUUUGCUGUCACUUAUAGAUGGAUCCGCGCCGCAUUAGCUAGUUGGUAAGGUAACGGCUUACCAAGGCAACGAUGCGUAGCCGACCUGAGAGGGUGAUCGGCCACACUGGAACUGAGACACGGUCCAGACUCCUACGGGAGGCAGCAGUAGGGAAUCUUCCGCAAUGGGCGAAAGCCUGACGGAGCAACGCCGCGUGAGUGAUGAAGGUCUUCGGAUCGUAAAUCUCUGUUAUUAGGGAAGAACAAAUGUGUAAGUAACUAUGCACGUCUUGACGGUACCUAAUCAGAAAGCACGGCUAACUACGUG